rnacentral:lncRNA from 1 species
CCCCUGCCUGGAGCCUCACACAUGACUCGCCUCCUCUCAGUGACCACAGGUUGGUUGAGGGGUUUAACAAGGCUAAGAAGGUGAGACGUGGUCUUGUAACACAGUGGUUAAGAAUGUGACUUUGGAGCCAGCCUGCUAGGGGCUGAAUUCUGACUCAGCCAUUUACUAACUGUGUGACCUUAGGUGGAGUCUCACUCUGUAGCCCAAGCUGGAGUGGCGUGAUCUCGACUCACUGCAACCUCCGCCUCCUGGGAUCAAGUGAUUCUCGUGCCUCAGCCUCCUGAGUAGCCGGGACUACAGCCAGAGACAGACUCCCAGACUCGGCCAGAGGCUGAUGCCAACUCCUUCCAGCUCUCACGGUAACCAUGAGGCCCCUGCGUGUUUCUGUUGUGGAGGUCCCAGAGGGAACUGUAUGGACAGACACAGCCCGAAGGGCCAUCUGCCUCAAGCCACAGCAGCACAGAAUUCUAAAGAUUGUGGGGAAGGAUGGGGCCAAGGGGACCAGAUGUGCAGAGGUAAUGAAUACCAGGGAAUCAGGAAACCACUGGAUCAGUUCUUUGAGCCACAGAACAACACUCAUCCCAGCAGCUGGGAAGCUAUCUGCAAAAGUCCAUCUGCAGAAAGGGCUUCCUGGUCUUGCGUGUGGCUGGGCCAUUUCUCUGGAUGCAGGUUUUUCAUUAUACAGUCUUCUCAAAGAACCACCUGCUCUCAACACCUUCUCGGUGACUCCAUUUCCCCUCCUCU